GUCCACGCCGUAAACGAUGAUCACUCGAUGUUGGGAGUUCGACCCUCUCAGUGUCUAAGCUAACGCGAUAAGUGAUCCGCCUGAGGAGUACGGCCGCAAGGUUAAAACUCAAAGGAAUAGACGGGGACCCCACACAAGCGGUGGAGCGUGUGGUUUAAUUCGACAAUAAGCGAGGAACCUUACCAAGGCUUGACAUCCUCCUAAUUUUUCCGAAAGGAAGAAGUGCCGUAAGGAAAGGAGAGACAGGUGAUGCAUGGUUGUCGU
rnacentral:rRNA from 1 species